UCACUCAGCUUGCAAUAUCAGGUAGACAUGUUGACAUUCUAAUGGAUAUUAUGAGGUUCUCCGGAUGGAACAAAUGGGGUCCAGCUGCUUAUUAUCUGCAUAGAAGAAACCAUGGGACUGGAUGAUAGGGUCCAGUGAAGAGGUAUAUACAGAGAAGAGGAGAGGGUCCAGCACCAAUCCUUGGAACACACCCAUGCUGGUGCACCUUUGACAUCUCUUCAUGCUGGGGCACACAGAAGGACCUGCCCAAGAGUUUGAUCAUCACAUCUUUAAUUCCCAGACACUGUGAAGAAGUAGGCAAGGAGGACAAGAAGAAGAAGAAGCCUCAUGUGUCGAAUUCACCCGAAGUGAUCUGCUCUGUGGAUGACACCAUGACGUCCUCGAGGGUGGUCCGGCUCGCAGGACCCUCAUUUUUGACGACCCAAGUGGCUGGACCAGGCUCCUGUAACACCUGGCUGUGGCAGAUACAGGGUGGGACUGGGCCACCUACCUGAGGGGUUGCCAGCUGGGAUCCCGGGCUGUGUGACGUGACAACGUGCUGUACCAGUGCAGGCUCCCCAACCUGACCUGACCUGAUAACUCUGCCUGCUGAUUUGGGGGCUCCUGCCUGAGGUUUGGCACUUCUCCCCCUUUACUUCAAGGACAUGUGUCACACACGGGCGCGUGGGAGACGGUUUAUAGGCUCAAAUGGUGUUAGUUCGCAGUCAGACCAGGGGUUGGCACUGUCGCCUGAUCCCUAAAGGGUGGCAUUUGGGGGUGGCAAGUGCAGCAACCUCCUCAGGCCCUGCACCUAAGGGGGACCUGCUUUUGAGGUCAAAGUUAUAUUCUUCAGUUAUAUUUUGAUAAAGUCCGCAUGUUAUCUUGCAAACAUUUAGCCGAAUACCGUAAUGAGAAAAUCCGGUGUAUGUUAACAUUAUUUUGAUUAAAUUCACCUGUUUAUACGAUCCACACAUACCGGUAACAGCGUCUGACGUAAAUCGGGUUUGUCAGCCCCAGGCUCUGCACACCCAUAAGGUCACCUCUUGCCUGAUGUUCUGCAGACCAGCUGAAGACCCCCUUCCUCUCAAUAACAUCAUCACUGGUCACUCACCAUUGACAUCACUUCCAGUAUACUCUGAUGACUUCAUUUCAGGCACCCUGAACCAGGACCAUCUCAAACAGCAUUACAGACCCCCCGUUGCAAAGCAGUGCACUGGGACCCCUACCUACACAACCCCUCAUUAAGUCACAACAUACAUAGAUUAGCAUGGGGGCUCAUGGGGGGGGGGGGCCGUUAAGAUGGCCCUGCCCUGAAUCCAUCUUCCUGCCACCUCAGUUCCAGUUCUGGCCUUCCUGACUCCCCGUCUUCCUCUGUUCAGCCAUAUUGAUCGACCAGCCUACAACCUGUUAGUCAUUUCGGUUUUGAACUCCACAGCUGUAAAUCCGAGUUUUAUUUAUUUUGCUGAUUUUUUCAGUAUAUGGGGUGGCCUUCCCCAAACCUUUUCCUGUCCGCUGCCCCUUUUUUAUUUUACAUGAUUAGAAGUUGAAGCACCCUGAGGCUGGUUAAUGCUGCUGCCCCAAACCUCCAGGGUACCAGUGCCACUCAGUAUUUAAAUGUAGCUUGUAUAAGUUCUCCCAGUUCCCGAUUGGGUUUUCUCUGCUCUCCUCCCGCCUCUUAAAGGUGGGGAUUGGUAGUUGGAGUCGUUGUGAACGUGAAGAGGCCCUGGCAUGUCAUAAACUGGCAUCCAAAUCAGGGUUGGUUCUUACCUUGCCCCCGAGGCUACCGGGAUAGGCUUCACCUGCCUGUAAGUGUGAACUGGGGAAGAAGAAAAUGGACGGGUGGAGUUUGGGAUGAUGGAUGGUGUGUUUUGGGAAUAGAGAAGUUUUUAGCAUUUUGUAGGGCAAUAUAUUGUCCUAUCAAACUCAAAGUGUGUCAAGAAGACCACAGCCAGCAAGUACCAUCACCGUGCCCUCUGUAUUUGUUAGCCAGGACCUGAUGGCAUCCCAUCAGAGGUGUUCAAGCCUGAUGUAGAGACUGUAGUGGAGAUGCCGUACCCCCUCUUCAAGAAGAUCUGGGAAGAUCUUGUUAAAGUGGAAGGAGGGUUACUUCAUCGAGAACCCAAAGAAAUGAGAACUUCAGUUCAGAGCUUGAAAUGGGAGCAGUCUUUCAAUUGUGAUACAGUGACAUUCGAGCACUGGGAUACAUCAACUCUCAUUCGAAUGGGUCACAGGGAAUUAGGGUGUGGACCUGAUGAUUCCUGAAGAGGUUCUGGUACCCAUGGUACUCUACAAAUAUAGGUGCAGGUAUGAGGAAUUAUGAAAAUCGAUCACCACGAGACAGUGAACGAUGACCGAAGGGGUGGGGUCCCCCUUGAAGAUUCUCAGAUGAAAGGUUGUCAGUACUCUACAUUGAAAUCAGAAGAGUUGCCGGUACUCCAUACAUUUCAAAGCACUUCCUCAGCUCCUGCUCAAACGAUGGAGGGAUGAUAACAUUGUCUGUCCAAGGCAAAGUCUGCAAGACCUGCUGUACAGGAUGAGGGAAGGCGUCGACUCCCAGCACCAAGAUCAGCAGGGCUGGCUUUCACAAGGAUAGAGCAGAAGGCAUCACUGCCUUGACGAUGAGAAGAACGGAUGUGUGGCAGGGACGUGCGGUCAGGGGCGGCCUCAUUAUGAAAAGUAAAAAAAAAAUAAUAAUAAUGAUAACAUAAAAUAAAUGUGUCCAAUGGUCUGCGCUAUAAAGUUGUUUUCUGUGUGAUUCCAAUGAUCAUUUUUAUAGUCAAAAUCGUUGAAUUGGCACCAGGGGCGGACUGGGCAAUUUGGGCAAUGCCCUAUGGGCCGUGGAUUCUGCUCUGGUCAUGG